UAGUGCUAAUUAUUCCAACCC
ensembl:piRNA 21ur-81 ncRNA